GAUGAACGCUGGCGGCGUGCCUAAUACAUGCAAGUCGAGCGAACAGACGAGGAGCUUGCUCCUCUGAUGUUAGCGGCGGACGGGUGAGUAACACGUGGAUAACCUACCUAUAAGACUGGGAUAACUUCGGGAAACCGGAGCUAAUACCGGAUAAUAUAUUGAACCGCAUGGUUCAAAAGUGAAAGACGGUCUUGCUGUCACUUAUAGAUGGAUCCGCGCUGCAUUAGCUAGUUGGUAAGGUAACGGCUUACCAAGGCAACGAUGCAUAGCCGACCUGAGAGGGUGAUCGGCCACACUGGAACUGAGACACGGUCCAGACUCCUACGGGAGGCAGCAGUAGGGAAUCUUCCGCAAUGGGCGAAAGCCUGACGGAGCAACGCCGCGUGAGUGAUGAAGGUCUUCGGAUCGUAAAACUCUGUUAUUAGGGAAGAACAAAUGUGUAAGUAACUAUGCACGUCUUGACGGUACCUAAUCAGAAAGCCACGGCUAACUACGUG
rnacentral:rRNA from 1 species